GCCAAUAUGUUGCCUUUAUCUGCAUUUGCACCUGCACCUUAAGUUUCUUUGUUUCUUCUUCUUCUUUUUUCUUUUUUAAGAAGUCUACUUCUUCUAAAUUAUGGGUUUUCAAUAUAUAGAGGAUUGAAACAAGCAAAUAUAGGUGCAGGUGUGAGUGCAGGUGAAUGCCAUUUUGGU
rnacentral:pre_miRNA from 1 species